rnacentral:lncRNA from 1 species
CGUGUGUGGCUGUAAUUUGCGCUCUACCUUAGAGCAGCUCCAAGAUAACCAUUGUCUUAUUUAUUAACUAAUUUUGAUAUAUAAUUGUGGUGAUUUAGUAUAUUUAUUAUAUAUAUAUAUAUAUAUAUAUGAUGGUUGGUAAUGUGCAUUUUUGACUACUCAUCAUUCAGAUUGGUUCAAAUUAAAAAAUAUAUAUAGAGGUGCUCAAAUCAUUUUAGCUUUCCUUGUAUUUCAAAUCAACAAAACAAUAAUAUUAUAAUUUUAACAACACUAAUCAGCCAGGCAAUUCCACCUGGACCCACUUUCUAUCUUAAAACAAAUCAGUAUGGAAAGGAUAAUCAUGCAAUCUAACCUAAUUAAUUCAUAAAAUAACACCAAGACAACACACAUCUUAAUCCCUUAUCAUCUUUUUAAUAUAAAUAUUCAAACAAAUAUGAAGAUAUCAUAAUCUUUCAUAAUUAAGAACACAAAAUUUCCUCUUUCAUCCUUUCUCUCUCCAUCUUUUUUUGAUAAAUAAUUAAAAAAAGCUUAAUUGGUAGUUAUGUAAAAGAUCAGUGUAACUAAGUUGUAAAUUUGUUGAAUUUCUAUAACUAACACACUCAUGCACCAUAUAUGAUCAACCUCACUUAAAAGAACAAAAAAGACAUAUUAGAGUAAUAGUUUUUUUUUUUAAGAAGAUCAAAGGAUAUAAUUUUUUUAAUCCCAAUUAAAUUUUAAUCUUCAAUAUAUAAUCUAUAAUUAGAUUUCAAUCUUUUUAGAUGAUUUCGGUUAAACAUGUAUGUAAAUUUUCUUUUACGUUUUCGUAUGUUUGCUUAACUCAAUUUUUUCUUUUUUAAGAAAAGCUCGUUUUAUGGUGAGUUUUAAUUUGGUAUUUAUUCUUUUAUUAAAUUAUCAAUUUCAUAAAGUACUUAUUAAUUAUCUCACCAUCCAAUCUAUCAGUGUUAUUUUAAUUACGUUAAAUAAUUUUAGAAUAGUACUCUAAAAGUAUAAUACUAUUCGAGUCUUCUCGACGUAGAAUAUUUGGUGUCAAUUAAUAGUUUUUUUUUUCAAGAAAAUAAGUAAAUAACAAAGACCAAGAAGGGCAUAAAUGUCAAUACGAGAAACAAUUAAUCUCCACAUUAAUACUAAUAAUGUUAGUGCCUGGCUCAAGGCAAAAUACAGUGAGUGGUCACAGUAGGGAAUUACUGUUCUUGCAUCAUACCCCCUUUGUUUGGUUCUCUCCACACAAAAAGGGGUUCUUGAUUGUGACUUUUCCAGUGCCCCCUUUCUUCUUGCUUUGAUAUUUCUAUCCCUAUUCCAACCAACCAAAUUUAAUUCAAAAUAAUUUUACAUCACAUUUCCAAACUGAUGGCAUCACAGCCCUGUCUGUGACUGUCAGAGAUUUUGAGCCCCACUUGUACGACUUUAUUGGUCUGUCUUGCUCCUAAAUUUGUGCACUCAUUGUCAAUUUAAUUUUUACCCUAAUCCUCAUUUCUUUCUGUUCCCAUUGGCUUUCCCUUCUUGAUCUCUCACUCUCAUUUAUUUACUUACCUUGCCUAACAAAGUAAAUGGUGUACAAAAGCUGCAAAUAUUUAUUUACAUGGCAGUCAAAAUUGAAAAAAAAAAUAUAUAUGGGUUUGCAUAAUUACCCUUGUAGUUUAGUACAAUUGUACUUGACCCCGAAAUUAGAAAUUUUUAUGCACAAAUGUUGGCAUUGGUUCAUUGGUUGGGUUACUUGAAUACUCUUGCUGUCAUACACUACAACUAAAUAUUCGGCAGGCUUAUAAUGAAGCAUCUACAUUUAAUGAGUUUUUCUCAAGGCAGUAGUUGGUGACUUGGUACAUCUCCACUCUGCCAAUGAAGAUAAUUUAAAUGUAAGUGAAGAACGAUUAUAUUGUCAUGUAAAUUGACAAAAGAGAAUUGUAACCAUAUUAAAUAUGACUUUAACCGAUAGCUACUAUCAAUUUUUGAUUAUAAAUGACGGUCAAUGACUGGCGAACAGUAUUAAUUGGUUUAUUUAAUUGCUUUAACCAUACCAAUUAUAGUAGAGUACUAAACAAAGUCUUCACCUACAUGGCAUUGGUUGUAUGUUGCUUUUGUCAUAAAAUUGUUGUCAUUGAUAAUGCAUUUAAUUGUGUUACACUUUUUCAAUGUUGCAACAUAUAUAACUUAAGUUAAACAUAAGUUAUGUAAAAAUAACAAAAACGUUUUGCUUGUAAUGAAAAACUUGUGAUAGGUACAAUACACAUCUAAUUUUGAUCCUUUUUAUAUGUUUUUGAAUAUUGAAAUUACAAAAUAAAUAGAGGUCUUAUAAAAAACAUUUCGCCUAAGGCCCCUCAAACUCUAAAGCCGGCCCUGGAUCUAACCAAUCCUUAAAUGCCAUGUGGCAUUACUUAAACUUAAAUUUGUUUUUUGGUUUUUCGAUUCAAAAACAAUAUGAUGGAAGCUGCCAAAAAAUGUUUGGGUGCAAGUGCAAUUAUCAAAGAGACAUGGACACAUGGGGUGAGAGAGUAAGAAUAGCUUGGCAACAAUCCAAAAGUGUACGGUUGAAAAUUUAUGAAACUGCUACAGUUUUUUUCACUGCAGGUGCAGAUGUUAUAUGUGGAAACACAAACCACUGUCUGAUUCUCUCAGUCUGCUGAGGGCAGUCACACAGCCUCACAGAUAUGGAUAUCACAGCAAUUUUCUUUUUAAAUUUUAGCUUAAAUAAAGAUUGUUAGAAUUUUUCAACAAUAUCCAAUUCAAAAUUGUCAAUUGUUAAAUCUAUAAUGAGAAAUGUAGAGUUAUGCACAAAAUAAAACCAUUGAGAUAAAUUUUAAUACAUUAAACCCAAAUUUCUAAAGAAAAAGCUAUUACAUUCGAGUUCUUUCUAGUAGAUAUUACAUGUUGAAUCAACUAAUAAUCUCGAAAUAUCAAAAAUACCCCUUCAGACUGGGAUUAAAAAAAAUUAAAAGAAUAUAUUUUAUUUUAAGA